UGUAACGCGUCUUCUGAUUGGCUGACGUUAUUUUGUUAUUAGCCCAUAGACAUAAUUUAGUCAUGUGACCGUGACGUCAUCAACGUUUUUUCAUGGUUUUCUACGGUUUAAAAUGGAAUUUAGAAUCAAAUUAUAAGAAAUGACUGUAAUAUUGUUUCUGUCUAUUCGAAAUAACAUAACAAAUGUGGUGCACACUGUUAAAUAACCCGCUACGGGCG
rnacentral:lncRNA from 1 species